rnacentral:rRNA from 2 species
AGCAGCCGCGGUAAUUCCAGCUCCAAUAGCGUAUAUUAAAGUUGUUGCAGUUAAAAAGCUCGUAGUUGAAUUUCGAGACCGGUUUACUGGUCGUGCUUUUGUACGUACUGGUAUUAUUGGUUUCUCCUUUCUGACGAAUCUUAAUGCCAUUAAUUUGGUGUUUUGGGGAAUCAGGACUGUUACUUUGAAAAAAUUAGAGUGUUUAAAGCAGGCUCACGCUUGAAUACAUUAGCAUGGAAUAACGAAAUAGGACGUUUGAUUUUAUUUUGUUGGUUUCUAGGAUCGACGUAAUGAUUAAUAGGGAUAGUUGGGGGCAUUAGUAUUCAAUUGUCAGAGGUGAAAUUCUUGGAUUUAUUGAAGACUAACUACUGCGAAAGCAUUUGCCAAGGAUGUUUUCAUUAAUCAAGAACGAAAGUUAGGGGAUCGAAGACGAUCAGAUACCGUCGUAGUCUUAACCAUAAACUAUGCCGACUAGGGAUCGGAUGAUGUUAAUUUUUAAUGACUCAUUCGGCGCCUUACG